CCUCGAGUAUAUUGAGACAUUACCCUUUCCAGUGAUCAUAAACUGGCAAGUUAAUUGGCAGUGAUUCGGGAUUGAAAUUUGAAUUCGGGAAGAACGGAUAGAUCAAUAUCCCCAAAUAGAAAAACUCAGUAGCUUUAAUAUGCCAAAAGAGUUCAUUCAUUAUGAAUCCAACUACACGUAUUAUCCAUACAUUACAAAGAAUAAUAUGCUAAUGCUUCACAACCGAUCGGCUUCACUCCCAACUUAAAGUAACAAUGUAUUUAUGAGUUCACAUAUUUCAGGCAUCAAACUCAACUAGGUUUAACAAUUGAAACCUCAGAUACAAGCUUUAGUACUCCUACUUUUCCAUCUGGCCUGCACAAAAUUUAACCAGUCGGAUUCCAACUACAGAUAUGGAUGUUCUAGCCAUCAUUUCAGAAUGCCAAACUCCGUUAAACACUGGCUUUAACUAUGCACCUAAUGCCAGCUGUUGCUGUCCCCCGCCCCUCCAGGUUAUUCAGCAGCUCGGAGGUGUCGACUUAACAAAGCGGUUACCAUAACACUCGAAGUAUUCUGAGUGUUAAUUUAGCCUAGCUGUCACACUCCUUUUUUAACUCCCAAAAGAAUAUUGUUUUAGUUUUGAAAGAGUUUUUAUUAUUAAGUGACAAAAAAGAUGAAAAUUUGUUUCGAAAAGGACCUUUUAUAUUCAAAACUCAGAGUCGUCACUUGGCAUAAAUUGGGUGUGCCAAGUCACCCAUGGAUAUCUUUUUUAAAACGAUUUUACUCUUUGAAACUGGUUUGCGAAUAGAGAUUCCGGCUAAGGAAUUCUGUUGAUCGAGGGAAAGGUUUUAGGCACCCCUCGAUCCCGUGGUUCGACCACGGUCGUUUGGUGGAGCAUAUCGGCUAAUUUGAUAUUACAAAUGCAUAAACCACACAAAGAACGCAAAAAAAAAUCACUCAAGCAAACAAAACAAAACAAUCCAAAAUAUAAUGUCCAGUCCAAUUAUUACAAACCCAAAAUAAAAGGUACCGAAAUAAACCUAUGCUAAUCCUAAACUACCUUCAGCACUUUACCCGAUGCCUCAGGUCUUAAUCACGAACGUCUUUCGCCAACAUAAUAUGUCAGGGCAUUCCACGGUGAAUAAAUACAAAUGGCCUCGGGGCAUUCCCCGGCUAAAUGAAUACAGUCGAUCCAAAUGCAGUAAACAAAACCUUUCAACACAUAAUCCAAACAUUCCACAAUCCACAAGUUCUAAAUUUGUCUAUAUAACCUACUGUUUGCUUACCUAGCUCGACCAAUCGUGACACUAUUACAAUCAACGACAUCAAUGAAUCAAAACGACAAUAUUCAUUUUUAUCAACUUUCAAUUCCCGCCCCACUUUUAUUCUCAAAUUAUCGAUUUUAAUUCUCAAACAAGAUAUCAUUUCAUCGCACAACACCUAAACAAUGAAUCAACACCAAGCAAUCAUUCACCAUCAACAAGGAUCAAACAACAUGCAAACGUUCAAACCAUAACACCGAAUAUCAUAAAGAGUGAAAUAAAAAGAGAGGGAAAAGAGAAUCAGACCUCAAUUAUCGAUUUCAACGUAGUGUUAUUCAAUUGAACGAGACAGAGUACAACCGAGAACCUCGAAUUGAAAUUCAAUCGUGACCCACCAACUCAAAUCCAAAUCGAAUGGAACUCCACCAACGAUAGUGAAUACCCGGGAUCAAUAGCUAAGCAGAUUUCAAACCCAAAAAUAAUGACCUCAAUAUGAAAACCAAAAUCCGAACCCAAAACGACGACUGAUGAAACUCAAAAUCCGGUUUCGAUCUUGAAUCACCAAAAUAGAUGAACCCGAAGCUUCAAAAAAUCUGAUAGAAAAUAAAGCCCAGUGUAGACCAAGCUCCGGUGAGCUCCAGCGACAGCAAAACAGCGGGUCAGGAUAAAUUCUGGCGCGUUUCAACAUUUUCAGGCAGGAUUUUCUUGGAAAAUCACUGGAAAUGAAAAAAUUAGAGGAUUUUGGAGCUGGGUACGUCGAAUAGACGAACUAGUCACUAAUUUCGACAAAAAUUUUGCCAGAAAUACUAGAAAAACGACCGAAUUUCUCCCUCCCCGAUCUCUCACUCUCGAUCUGCUCUUCUCCCUUAUAUUUCGAUUUCUUUUUCUCCCUGCUUCUCCGAUGGUGAGUGUUGCAUAUGUGCGUGAAUCUGUGGAGAAGAAGAUAGAUCCCUUUUUUGUCGUGUCUUUUUUCACCCAAAAGAAGAAAAGAAUGGUGUUUAUAUUGUCAAGAAGAGGAAAAUAGAAAUUGAUUGAAAAAAAAAUUGGAGUCCUCUGUGAUGGUGUAUGCGUAUGUUUUUUU
rnacentral:lncRNA from 1 species